CAGUUAAGAGUCAACCACAUUGCUGUAGGUUUGGAGUCACAUUAGGCAAGACCAGUUGCUAAAUGGCCACACUAUUUGAUAUACGUGAUCUUAAUGAUGCAGAAGAAAUGGUAGCGUACAACUGGAUCUCACAGUUAUAGGGAGUGAAGACCACAGCUGUUAACAGGCUGACUUAAUGUGCUAAAAACAAAAAACUGCGGAUGCUGGAAAUCCAAAACAAAAGCAGAAUUACCUGGAAAACCUCAGCAGGUCUGGCAGCAUCGACAGAGAAGAAAAGAGUUGAUGUUUCGAGUCCUCAUGACCCUUCAACAGAACUGACUUAAUGUGCAAUCUGAUGCUGACCUCAAACAUGCCUUUUCAGGGUACCAAAAAAGUAAUUAGGCUCUUGAAGUGAGCAAGCCACUUUAUCGUUGUUGGACAUGCUUGCCAGGGAGAUGAAAUAUUUUGUUCAGUGCUGUUAAUCGUGAUUGUUUGAUUUAUGUUUAUUGAACUCCGCAUGGCGCAUCCUUUUGGCACGAUCGUAAACCUUUCGCUCCUGCUGCAAGUUAAUAGGUAGAUCCUUGUGGGUGUGUACUUCCGAGUGCAGCAGAUGGGAACAAGCAAUUCUUAAUUCUUUGUUACUUGAAGAAAAUCUUGAACUAGCAUUCAUCUGAGCGUUCAUUGUUUCCUUUCAUAUCGGAAGUAUGAAAGCAAAAUAAUGGUGUGCAAUGUAUAUAGACUGAAUUGAACUGUCAAUUUUUCUGGUCCUCCUACUUAACAUGGGUACAAAUGCAUUGUGUCAACAAUGUUUAUUCCAAUGUUCAAUAAAUCUCGGCAUUCUCAAGUG